GUUGAACGCUGGCGGCAGGCCUAACACAUGCCAGUCGAGCGGUAGAGAGAAGCUUGCUUCUCUUGAGAGCGGCGGACGGGUGAGUAAUGCCUAGGAAUCUGCCUGGUAGUGGGGGAUAACGUUCGGAAACGGACGCUAAUACCGCAUACGUCCUACGGGAGAAAGCAGGGGACCUUCGGGCCUUGCGCUAUCAGAUGAGCCUAGGUCGGAUUAGCUAGUUGGUGGGGUAAUGGCUCACCAAGGCGACGAUCCGUAACUGGUCUGAGAGGAUGAUCAGUCACACUGGAACUGAGACACGGUCCAGACUCCUACGGGAGGCAGCAGUGGGGAAUAUUGGACAAUGGGCGAAAGCCUGAUCCAGCCAUGCCGCGUGUGUGAAGAAGGUCUUCGGAUUGUAAAGCACUUUAAGUUGGGAGGAAGGGCAGUAAAUUAAUACUUUGCUGUUUUGACGUUACCGACAGAAUAAGCACCGGCUAACUCUGUG
rnacentral:rRNA from 1 species